rnacentral:rRNA from 1 species
AGAGUUNGAUCCCUGCUCAGAUUGAACGCUGGCGGCAGGCCUAACACAUGCAAGUCGAGCGGAUGACGGGAGCUUGCUCCUUGAUUCAGCGGCGGACGGGUGAGUAAUGCCUAGGAAUCUGCCUGGUAGUGGGGGACAACGUUUCGAAAGGAACGCUAAUACCGCAUACGUCCUACGGGAGAAAGCAGGGGACCUUCGGGCCUUGCGCUAUCAGAUGAGCCUAGGUCGGAUUAGCUAGUUGGUGGGGUAAUGGCUCACCAAGGCGACGAUCCGUAACUGGUCUGAGAGGAUGAUCAGUCACACUGGAACUGAGACACGGUCCAGACUCCUACGGGAGGCAGCAGUGGGGAAUAUUGGACAAUGGGCGAAAGCCUGAUCCAGCCAUGCCGCGNGUGUGAAGAAGGUCUUCGGAUUGUAAAGCACUUUAAGUGNNAGGAAGGGNGAAAGCUAAUACCUUCNCCUUGACANUNNGCAGNUAGCCCGCACU